GACGAACGCUGGCGGCGUGCCUAAUACAUGCAAGUUGAGCGAUGAAGCUUGGUGCUUGCACCAAUUUAAAGAGCAGCGAACGGGUGAGUAACGCGUGGGGAAUCUGCCUUUGAGCGGGGGACAACAUUUGGAAACGAAUGCUAAUACCGCAUAACAACUUUAAACAUAAGUUUUAAGUUUGAAAGAUGCAAUUGCAUCACUCAAAGAUGAUCCCGCGUUGUAUUAGCUAGUUGGUGAGGUAAAGGCUCACCAAGGCGAUGAUACAUAGCCGACCUGAGAGGGUGAUCGGCCACAUUGGGACUGAGACACGGCCCAAACUCCUACGGGAGGCAGCAGUAGGGAAUCUUCGGCAAUGGACGAAAGUCUGACCGAGCAACGCCGCGUGAGUGAAGAAGGUUUUCGGAUCGUAAAACUCUGUUGGUAGAGAAGAACGUUGGUGAGAGUGGAAAGCUCAUCAAGUGACGGUAACUACCCAGAAAGGGACGGCUAACUACGUG
rnacentral:rRNA from 1 species